rnacentral:misc_RNA from 1 species
GAUGAAGAACGUAGCGAAAUGCGAUAAGUAGUGUGAAUUGCAGAAUUCAGUGAAUCAUCGAAUCUUUGAACGCACAUUGCGCCCCUUGGUAUUCCAUAGGGCAUGCCUGUUCGAGCGUCAUUUGUACCUUCAAGCUUUGCUUGGUGUUGGGUGUUUGUCUCGCCUUUGCGUGUAGACUCGCCUUAAAAUAAUUGGCAGCCGGCGUAUUGAUUUCGGAGCGCAGUACAUCUCGCGCUUUGCACUCAUAACGACAGCGUCCAAAAGUACAUUUUACACUCUUGACCUCGGAUCAGGUAGGGAUACCCGCUGAACUUAAGCAUAUCAUAAGCGGAGGA